CCUACGGGAGGCAGCAGUGGGGAAUUUUGGACAAUGGGCGCAAGCCUGAUCCAGCCAUGCCGCGUGAGUGAAGAAGGCCUUCGGGUUGUAAAGCUCUUUCGGUAGGAACGAAAUGGUUCGUGCUAAUACCACGGACUGAUGACGGUACCUGAAGAAGAAGCACCGGCUAACUACGUGCCAGCAGCCGCGGUAAUACGUAGGGUGCAGGCGUUAAUCGGAAUUACUGGGCGUAAAGCGUGCGCAGGCGGUUUCUUAAGUCAGAUGUGAAAGCCCCGGGCUUAACCUGGGAACUGCGUUUGAAACUGGGAGACUAGAGUGUGGCAGAGGGGGGUGGAAUUCCACGUGUAGCAGUGAAAUGCGUAGAUAUGUGGAGGAACACCGAUGGCGAAGGCAGCCCCCUGGGUUAACACUGACGCUCAUGCACGAAAGCGUGGGGAGCAAACAGGAUUAGAUACCCUGGUAGUCCACGCCCUAAACUAUGUCAACUGGUUGUCGGGGGAUUAACUCCCUUGGUAACGAAGCUAACGCGUGAAGUUGACCGCCUGGGGAGUACGGCCGCAAGGUUAAAACUUAAAGGAAUUGACGG
rnacentral:rRNA from 1 species